rnacentral:rRNA from 1 species
GACGAACGCUGGCGGCGUGCUUAACACAUGCAAGUCGAACGGAGUGGCGAACGGGUGAGUAACACGUUGGUGUUCUGCCUUGCACUUCGGGAUAAGCUUGGGCAACUGGGCAUAAUACCGGAUAGUGCAAGAUGAGCUCGCGGCCUAUCAGCUUGUUGGUGGGGUAAUUUCCUACCAAGGCGUCGACGGGUAGCCGGCCGGAGAGGAGGUACGGCCACAGUGGGACUGAGCUACUGCCGAGACUGUGACGGGAGGCAGCAGUGGGGAAUAUUGCACAAGGGGGGGAAGCCUGAUGCAGGGACGCGGGGUGGGGGAGGAAGGCCUUCGGGUUGUAAGCUCCUUUCGACAGGGACGCGGUACCGGUAUAAGAAGCGCCGGCUAACUACGUGCCAGCAGCCGCGGUAAUUC